rnacentral:rRNA from 1 species
UCAGGCCUAACACAUGCAAGUCGAGCGGUAACAGAGGAGCUUGCUCCUGCUGACGAGCGGCGGACGGGUGAGUAACGCGUGGGAAUCUGCCUAUUGGUGGGGGAUAGCCCGGAGAAAUCCGGAUUAAUACCGCAUAGUACCUAAGGGUUAAAGCAGGGGAUCUUCGGACCUUGCGCCAGUAGAUGAGCCCGCGUCAGAUUAGUUUGUUGGUGAGGUAAUGGCUCACCAAGACUGCGAUCUGUAGCUGGCCUGAGAGGGUGGUCAGUCACACUGGAACUGAGACACGGUCCAGACUCCUACGGGAGGCAGCAGUGGGGAAUAUUGGGCAAUGGGCGCAAGCCUGACCCAGCCAUGCCGCGUGUGUGAAGAAGGCUUUCGGGUUGUAAAGCACUUUAAGUUGGGAGGAAGGUGCGACGGUUAAUACCCGUUGUAAUUGACGUUACCAACAGAAUAAGCACCGGCUAAUUCCGUGCCAGCAGCCGCGGUAAUACGGAAGGUGCGAGCGUUAAUCGGAAUUACUGGGCGUAAAGCACACGUAGGCGGUUUGCUAAGUCAGAUGUGAAAGCCCAGGGCUUAACCUUGGAACUGCAUCUGAUACUGGCAGGCUAGAGUACAGUAGAGGGAGGUGGAAUUUCAGGUGUAGCGGUGAAAUGCGUAGAGAUCUGAAGGAACACCAGUGGCGAAGGCGGCCUCCUGGACU